rnacentral:rRNA from 1 species
ACGAACGCUGGCGGCGUGCUUAAGACAUGCAAGUCGAGCGGGGGGACCCAGAGCAGCUUGCUGUGAGGGUUCCCUAGCGGCGGACGGGUGAGUAACGCGUGGGCAACCUACCCGCGAAUCGGGGACAACAGUGGGAAACCGCUGCUAAUACCGGAUGAGCUUUUCUGACCGCAUGGUCGGGGAAGGAAAGGCAGCCUCUGCAUAGCAAGCUGUCGUUCGCGGAUGGGCCCGCGUCCCAUUAGCUAGUUGGUGGAGGUAACGGCCCACCAAGGCGACGAUGGGGUAGCCG